GCCUGGGUGGCUCAGUCAGUUGAGCGUCUGACUUCGGCUCAGGUCAUGAUCUCAUGGUCCGUGAGUUCGAGCCCCGCGUCGGGCU
rnacentral:tRNA from 1 species